rnacentral:rRNA from 1 species
GAUGAACGCUGGCGGCGUGCCUAAUACAUGCAAGUCGAGCGAAUGGAUUAAGAGCUUGCUCUUAUGAAGUUAGCGGCGGACGGGUGAGUAACACGUGGGUAACCUGCCCAUAAGACUGGGAUAACUACGGGAAACCGGGGCUAAUACAGGAUAACAUUUUGAACCGCCUGGUUCGAAAUUGAAAGGCGGCUUCGGCUGUCACUUAUGGAUGGACCCGCGUCGCAUUAGCUAGUUGGUGAGGUAACGGCUCACCAAGGCAACGAUGCGUAGCCGACCUGAGAGGGUGAUCGGCCACACUGGGACUGAGACACGGCCCAGACUCCUACGGGAGGCAGCAGUAGGGAAUCUUCCGCAAUGGACGAAAGUCUGACGGAGCAACGCCGCGUGAGUGAUGAAGGCUUUCGGGUCGUAAAACUCUGUUGUUAGGGAAGAACAAGUGCUAGUUGAAUAAGCUGGCACCUUGACGGUACCUAACCAGAAAGCCACGGCUAACUACGUGCCAGCAGCCGCGGUAA